AUAGACCUUAGUUUAGGUAUUGGGGCCAAAGGAUGGAUGACCAUUUCAAACGAUCCAGGCUAAGCCAGGAGGAGAGCUCAAAGUCUGAUCUGGUACGUUGCAAGGAUCGAGGGACAGAGCGUGCAGCAAGUGGCCAAUGAAUAGAAGUCUGGUUUUCUGAGCAUCCUUGCAGCUGCAGGCUUCAGUCUACCAGAGAAUGUGAGGUGUUAUUCUUCUAGGGCAGUGGUUAGAAAAGAAAAUGAAAGUAGCAGUACUCUUUUCCUAAUGCAACCAUAGAUGAUCAGAAUUUGUAAUCCAUAAGGUAGAAGCUGCUGUGCCUGAAGAAAUAGAAAGUGGGCAGAGGUGGAGGGGCAAGAGCAGGAGGUGACCAAUCUUGGAAAUAAGGAAGGGAGAGAGGCAGCCAAGCCAGCAGCUCCUAGGAUUAGUCACUGCCUGGAGCCAGCUCUUGGAAGUUCCCCAGGAGCUGUCCAGUCUUAUGUCAUGUCUAGUCAGCAGAGUCCCAAAGAAGCUUGUCAUUCUCUAGGCAUUUGUGCUUACAUUCUGAUGGGCCUAAUAGCAGGGAGAUGACAUGGAGCCCAGGCAGAACUGCUGAGAUUUCUACUGGUCAUGACCUCCAUCUUCUCCUUCACACCUUUCCUACCUUUCUUUUUUCAUGCAUUCAACAGACAUUUAUUACCCAAUAAGUGCCAGGUAGUAAGCGAGGACCUGGGGAGAGCAGAUGAGUAAGACACCGUCUCUGUCUCUCAGGAGCUCUCAGAUUCUUAGGGACACAUGUACAUCCUAAUAAACACAGUGCAUCUCA
rnacentral:lncRNA from 10 species